ACUCUUGGCCGGGGUUGCCCUUCUCUGGGACUCAGUUUCCCCAUCUGUAAAGGCAGGACGAUUAACUCUACAGAUAACAGGUGAUGCUAGAGAAAGUCACCUCUCCAACGUCUGUGCAGCCGGGGGAUCGGCAUUCGGGUUUUCUUCUCGGGGCCGCGGGGAGGACGAAGGAACGUUCUGGGCCGUCACCGCCCCCAGGUCAGCAGCCUCUGACCAGAGCCAGCUUCUUGAAUGAAUGAAUAAGUGGGUGAGUGAAUAACUGAAACGACAAUGACCUUCAAGCCCCGUGGGAAAAUGCUCUCGGUCUUUGCCAAUCAAUAGUGAUCUGUGCCCCACUUUCUAAGUCACGCCCUAGACAGCGGUCGCCAGGCUCAGAUGCAUGCCACAGUGAUCCGAGGACCAGACAGCUGGGCGGGGCGGGGGAGGGAGGCCGGAGAGGUCACACGGCCCGGCCCCCGUGCCACACGCCUCUCUCCUGUCUCGGCGGGCGAAGAAGGAGUGUCGCACACGCCUCAUCUUUUCAUUCAGCCCUCCCUGGUGGUGGGCUUGUUGGGCUCAUCGGUCGUGCGGGGACCAGCUUUCAGAGAGUUUCUUUAAAUUGCACGCGAGGGUUGCCCUGGAUGAGCUUGCCAGAUGCGAAGGACCUCCGCCUGAGGGAGAAGACCCUGAUGAGGUUGCCACCACCCCAUUUUCACCUUCAGCCCCGGACGGGCCUGCACCCUAGAGGAGCACUGAGGCAGACUGGCAUUUUCUUAAGGAUCUCAAUCAAAUACCAAGAGGGGACCCAAAGAGACUAUAUCUCUUUUUUGGGGGUGUGCCAUGCUUCAUUUUAUUUUAUUCUAUUUU